rnacentral:rRNA from 1 species
AUGAACGCUAGCGGCAGGCUUAAUACAUGCAAGUCGAGGGGCAGCGCAGUGUAGCAAUACAUGGGCGGCGACCGGCAAACGGGUGCGUAACACGUACGCAACCUUCCCGUUACUGUGGGAUAGCCCAGGGAAACUUGGAUUAAUACCACAUAUUGCCAUUGGGAGGCAUCUCUUGAUGGCCAAAGAAUUUCGGUAACGGAUGGGCGUGCGGUUGAUUAGGUAGUUGGCGGGGUAACGGCCCACCAAGCCUACGAUCAAUAGCUGAUGUGAGAGCAUGAUCCGCCACACUGGGACUGAGACACGGCCCAGACUCCUACGGGAGGCAGCAGUGGGGAAUUUUGGACAAUGGGCGAAAGCCUGAUCCAGCCAUGCCGCGUGAGUGAAGAAGGCCUUCGGGUUGUAAAGCUCUUUUGUCAGGGAAGAAACAGCAGCUCUAACACAGUCUGCGAAUGACGGUACCUGAAGAAUAAGCACCGGCUAACUACGUG